rnacentral:rRNA from 1 species
AGUGAACGCUGGCGGUAGGCCUAACACGUGCAAGUCGAACGGCAGCACAGUAAGAGCUUGCUCUUACGGGUGGCGAGUGGCGGACGGGUGAGGAAUACAUCGGAAUCUACUUUUUCGUGGGGGAUAACGUAGGGAAACUUACGCUAAUACCGCAUACGACCUACGGGUGAAAGCAGGGGAUCUUCGGACCUUGCGCGAUUGAAUGAGCCGAUGUCGGAUUAGCUAGUUGGCGGGGUAAAGGCCCACCAAGGCGACGAUCCGUAGCUGGUCUGAGAGGAUGAUCAGCCACACUGGAACUGAGACACGGUCCAGACUCCUACGGGAGGCAGCAGUGGGGAAUAUUGGACAAUGGGCGCAAGCCUGAUCCAGCCAUACUGCGUGGGUGAAGAAGGCCUUCGGGUUGUAAAGCCCUUUUGUUGGGAAAGAAAAGCAGCAGGUUAAUACCCCGCUGUUCUGACGGUACCCAAAGAAUAAGCACCGGCUAACUUCGUG